rnacentral:rRNA from 1 species
UACGUAGGGUCCAAGCGUUAUCCGGAUUUACUGGGUGUAAAGGGCGAGUAGACGGCCUAAUAAGUCAGAUGUGAAAACUCAGGGCUCAACCUUGAGACUGCAUCUGAAACUAUUAAGCUAGAGUGCAGAAGAGGUAAGUGGAAUUCCUAGUGUAGCGGUGAAAUGCGUAGAUAUUAGGAGGAACACCAGUGGCGAAGGCGACUUACUGGGCUGUAACUGACGUUGAGGAGCGAAAGUGUGGGGAGCAAACAGG